UGUUUUUACGUAACACAUAGGGGAGAUGGCUUGGCAUGAGAUGAGAAGAGAUUGGGUUGGUGACCGAUCUCAAAAAUCACACACCAAGUUUAGACGGCCAAUUCUGAGUUGGACCACAAGUUUUGAAGAUUUGCUCUCAACUGGUGAACCAUUCCCAGAGUCGAUUCCAUUAACUGAUGUCAUGGAUCUUUUAGUUGACAUUUGGGUCGAAGAAGGUUUUUACAAUUAGAUGCAAGACCGCGUGCAUUUUGACACCAGGAGCAUUGGCAAAAUUAUGCUAAAGAGAGACAAUGGUGUGGAAAGGAGUGGUCGCAGGAAUUCCACCAGCCAAGCAUAAUGGUCAUACUUGUGUCUCAUGGACAGACAAAAUUAGUAAUCGGUGGGGUAAGAUACCCAGAACCAUUACCUAUCUGAUGUCCAAUCUU